rnacentral:rRNA from 1 species
UACGGAGGAUGCAAGCGUUAUCCGGAAUGAUUGGGCGUAAAGCGUCCGCAGGUGGCUGUGUAAGUCUGCUGUUAAAGAGUCUAGCUCAACUAGAUAAAAGCAGUGGAAACUACACGGCUAGAGUACGUUCGGGGCAGAGGGAAUUCCUGGUGUAGCGGUGAAGUGCGUAGAGAUCAGGAGGAAUACCUAUGGCGAAAGCAGGCUUCUGGGCCGUCACUGACGCUGAUCUGCGAAAGCUAGGGGAGCAAACAGG